GUACGUGUAGCAUAAUUGGUAAUGCAGGUGGUUAGUAAGGUUCAACUCCUUAUUGAUUCCGGUGAAAGCUGCAAGUAUGAGGUUUCGAUACCCUCCACGUACA
rnacentral:tRNA from 1 species